rnacentral:lncRNA from 1 species
CGGUGAGCUCUGCACUUCCAAUUGGUGAAGCAAAGAGGAAGAAGGGAGAGAGCUGGGGCUUAUGAAUGUGACAUAGCAUGUGGAUUCUCCCGGCUAGAGCCAUAUUUCUUGGGUUCACCGAUCACCAGGUGCCUUGGACACAGGCCAGCAGUGCGUGACGAAAGGCAUCUGCUCUUUCCUGCACUCCUCAGUGGAAAACAUGCACUCUUUAUAUGUGACUAUCCAGAACAUAAGCUCGGUCUGCAUUUUGGACUAGGACACACUGAUGAACACCUUUGUCGU